CACAAACAGAAAACGAUUACGAGGAAUCACUGAGUGUUCUUGUGCAAAGCAAGGACACUACCAAAGUGGUAUUUUACCGGGCUGUCUUGCGGCCUUCAAAGACCAAAUAGCUAAAUUUGUUUUUUGAUCUGCAAAGCCCCAGGUGGUUAGCACAAACGAGCCCGAGCCCGGAAGAGCCUGCAGCCCCAGACUUCGUGGGCGGGGCAGGCAGCUGUCAGUAAUUUCACUGCAGCCCCAGGAGACCACUCUGGGUCAACUCUGCACUUUUUUCAAUCAAAUCUCCUUGCCUCAGAGGGAGACCCCCUGAGGACAGAAAGUAGACCUGGGGCUUCUCUGCCAACCUCGAGGGCUCAGCUAAGCAUGGGAAAGGGGCAGCUGAUGUGUGAUGCUUCAGAGUUGAGGAAAACGUCCCCAUCCUGGCCGGGAGAUGCUGUGCAGCCGUAAGGACAGAGUGGACACGAAUGGAACAAGACCCCUAAACUUGCAGCUCUCUUUGCAGCCUGUGAAGAAGAGUUGCUGGGGAAAGUGGGGCAGACGAGGUCGGCACAGACGGAGACAACCACAGCAUGGAUGCACACCCGGAGCAGAGAAAGGACCUCAGAGCAGGGGUGCCCAGGAACCUCUCUGCACUGCAGAAUCGCCUGCCCAACAUCCUUUCCCCCAUCUUCUUGCUGUUGGGACCCCAAUUCUGGUUGGGGCCACAAAAUGCCCAAUCCUAUUCGAGAUCCUCAUUUUCCUAGUUUCCCUUGCCCCUAGGAAGGGCCAUGAGACAUCCUUCUAGUUGUAAGAUACGGACAGCAGUCUUGUAGGAAUUCUGCAAAAGUGUUUCCUUCUUGAUAAAAAGGAACAAACAUGGCUAACACCGUCACGUUCUAUCUUGCUUCUUCCUUUGAGCACUUACACUACACCAGACUGCAGGAGCCAUCUUGCUCCCGUCUGUCCAAUAGAACUUUCUGCGAUGGUGGAAAUGUUCUACAUCUGCACUGACUCAAGACAGUGGCCAGUAGACACUUGAAAUGCUGCUAGUGUGACUGAGGAAUGGAAUUCUUUUUAGUUUUUAUUUAAUUUGAAUUAAUCUAAGUUUACAUAGCCACAUGCGGCUAGUGGCUCCCUUAUUGGACAGCUAGAACUAGAAGAUUCUAGGAUCUCUGACCCUGAUCGUGAGCCACCCACCUCCAAACUCCUUGUUCUGGAAGAAAAAUAGAUCCCUAAUUUUUAGGUCACUGUCAAUUGAGUUUUCUGGUACCUGCAGCCAAAUGGCUUCUAACUGAUACUACCAGGGACAGGGGCUGGCAGAGCCCCAGGGCUCCCACUGUCCAUGGGACAACAUUCAAGGGAUCAACCUCAUUUUAUUUGCAUCUCAAAGGACAGUUAACAUCAGCUAAUGUCCCAGUUAGAAUAUCCCUAGCAGAAGGGAACCCUGGAACAGAGUCUGCCCCUCCCUCAACCAGAUCCUCCCUUUGGCCAAGACACAAACGUCUAAAACAACCAAGG
rnacentral:lncRNA from 1 species